UACGUAGGGUGCAAGCGUUGUCCGGAAUUAUUGGGCGUAAAGAGCUCGUAGGCGGCUUGUCACGUCGACUGUGAAAACCUGGGGCUCAACUCCAGGCCUGCAAUCGAUACGGGCAGACUAGAGUUCGGUAGGGGAGACUGGAAUUCCUGGUGUAGCGGUGAAAUGCGCAGAUAUCAGGAGGAACACCGGUGGCGAAGGCGGGUCUCUGGGAAGUAACUGACGCUGAGAAGCGAAAGCAUGGGUAGCAAACAGG
rnacentral:rRNA from 1 species